rnacentral:lncRNA from 1 species
UGUAGUACAAGGUAAAGUGUAUCCGGAUUGAAAGCUAAAGUCUAACAUUGGGCGCAAGAAGCCGCUCAGAGGAGUGGUCAGGUAAGAUAGUUAGGGAGGUUGGACAAUCAGUAUAUUCAGCUUCAUUUUGCAUUUCAUACCAUAACCAAAGCCAAAGAGCAAGAAGGACCAACUCCAAGAACCCGACUCAAAGACAAGAAUCGGAAUGGCAAUCGAGAGACAGGCCUUCAGUGCGUGAUGAUGUCUCGUGUACUCUCAUGUACGCGCCCCCCUGAAUGAAGCGAGCGGAGGGAUAGAUAUAACAAAAAGAAUCCGUGGGGAAGGCGACAGAAGUGACAACGUGAAUGCCCGAGGAAUAAGAGGUUGAAUCAAUAGUUAUAAGAUACCACCCAGGCACAGAAUCCGAAAUAACCAUCAGGAGUAGGACUAGGGGAAGACGGAUAGGUCUUAACUCCCGAUUGUUAUUAUUGCUAAGCCUUCACCCCAAUCCCUAUGAUACUGGUAGCGAGAAAAAGACUUCUACGGCUACUCCAACUUCUGGGGAUAUCUAAAGACUUUUUGAAAGAAAUUUAAUAGCUUUCAAAUAGCACAGUCCCGGAUGGAGAUCGUUAUAACGUUACAGCGUUAGCACUUACGGGGCGAAGCACUAAAAAAGAAUAUCUUAACAGGCUUCCUUCUUUUGUUUCCGGUUCAUUUUCUCUAGUAGUUGUCCCUGUCUCUUACGAUCCAGCUGUAGUUGCUUUACUUUCCUUUUCCCUAGCAGUCGAAACUUUCCCUACGAGCGAUGCAGCUGAGGGGGCAACUCUAUGGGUUUUCUUUUCUAGAGGUUCCAUACCUAAAUAUAAGGAAUAGUAUUUAAAGCAAGUGAUAGAAGUGAAAUCGCUCGGGCAAGAAGUGAGUUCGCUUAAUAGCAAUCCCUUUGAGCCCUCCAGUUAUCAAUCCUACACUCUUAGGAAAGCUUAUAGGUCAAAAGGAGGAGCAAGCAGUCUUAUCUAACAGGGGUAGGACAAGGUUAAUCGCAAGAAGGAAAAAGCAAGCUACUGCUUUCCUUUCAGUCGAGUCACUUCUUUCCCAAAACACCACUUCAUUAGGACUAAUCCGCCCCUGCUCUUUCUUAGUUGCCACUAGCGGCAUACCAAAACAAACGAAUUCGAAAUGCGGCUUACUUACCAGUAGGUAAUAUCUAAGUUACGCCUCAAACUCAUCCUCAUGCCUUUUUCCACCUGCCAUACAACAUUAAGAUAGAAGGACAGGCGAACCCUUCCUCGAGUUAGGAUUCAGACCGAAGGUUGGAAUAUUUUAACUGAAAAGGGGAUGCCCCCCUAGCCGAGCUAAGGUUUGGACCCUCUUGUGACUCAAACUAUGUAUGGGGAAGGGCCCAACACUACUUCCCUAAUUCGUACUUAUCGGGUGCGGGUGGUCUGUUACCUAAGGAUAUCGAUGACGCUUUCCCAAAGGCGUAAGGUGCUUUCACUAACACUCCUUCUAGAGGUUGUGAUCAGUAUGCUCCUUGGUCUAUGACCUUAUGUUGAGUCUAUCCCCACGGAAUACACACUCACUCAAGGACAAGAAUUCGAAUUCAAAAAGGCUCGUGAACCAUAACUAAUGGUGCACUUCGCUCGUCAAGCAAGAAAUGAAAAUAAGCCCUUUACGCGUGAGAGUUGUUAAAAAGCAGCAAAGACAAAGGCAUUGCACCUCACUAAGAGGCUACCGAAAGGGUCCUACUUCUCGCAUUGACUCCAUCGACAGAAAGAACUCAAAGACUCGAUACGGGAAUCCGAAGAAAAAAAGGGAAUAGGCCUAUCCGCGCCGUCAAGUUCAAGAAAACGAAGCUAUGUCAGCAGGUGGUCUUGUAAGAGAAAGGCUCUUACUUGUUCUAUGGAAAGGAAAUCCGCAAUGGUUGAACCUUCUGUACGCCUGUGAUGUCCUGGUAUUGAGAAAGAAAUCGGCCAGGAAUGGAUCGUAUACUUAAAAUUCCGAGUCAACAACCCUAACUCGAGCACUUAUAUAAAAGAAAAUCUUUGUGAAAAAGCUUUAGUAUAAAGGAUACUUACCAGAGUGAAGUCCUUGACCAGCAAAGAGCCUUUCUUAUGCUGGUUAUGGUAGAGCUGAUCAAAUCAGUCCUUUUUUCUAUUCAGAAUGACUGUAAAAGUCUAUUCAUAUUCCCCUUGAAAGUUGCUUGAUGACAUUGAGCGGAUUCUUAUUCCUGUGGAAAGAGGCAGAUUGAAAGCACACCGGAGCCUUGCUUGGGACCAGGUCUCUUGUCCUACUAGGAGGGAAGGUGCUUUUGGCAUUAAGAGAGUUCAUGAAUGGAACACAACAUCUGUGUUGAAGCAUUGGCCAACGCCUCCCAUAGGUUCAGAUUUCCCGGAAUAAAGCAGUUCGUGCAGAGGUUUUCCUCUCUUCUGCCUCGGGUUAAUCCAACAUAUAGGACUGGUCCAGUUGGCAUAUCAGCUCUCGCUGAAGAAAGUAAGAGAAUAGGAGAUGCCCCCUAACUGGGUAUCCUAAAAACCCCGCUAUGGGCGCUUAGAAGCACCC